CGACUAAUUUUAUUUUUAAACGCUCCGGUCGAGCCUCCGCGCAACAACCAAUAGCAGGUGUAUCUCUUGUUCGCUAUAUAUCAAUAUACAUCCAUGUGCCCAACGCCACUGCCAUUAUUUACAUCAUGUGCGAUUGUCGCUCUUUAAUAAAAACUAACACGUGGUGGAAAACUUCAUGUUGACUCAAUGAACAUGUUUUUAUUAAUGCGUACUCUUCACUUUUCUUCUACCCUCAUCAACGUUUUUAGUCCGUGAUAUUCGAUAUUUUGCGUUUCGCGUUUCACCGCAGCAGACGUAACUGAAAAUUUUAUCGUUAUUUUUCGACGCACGACGUAACGAAUUACACAAACGCGUAGCGUCGACUGGCAAUCCCGGGCACUGCUUUAUCGACCUACGCAACAGUCAAAACUUUUUCUUCGCCUGUGCUUUUACUGCUCCAGUGCGCGCAUUAUUUACUCGUAUUUUCUUAUCGGAAACGUAUGUGUGUAUGCGUGUGUGAGUAUGUGAGAAAUUCAAUACGAACAGUCGGACAGACAUGUGGAUAAAUUGAAUUGUUUUCGAAGCGAAACCACCGAUUUGGGUACACAUACCGUGCUGUCAUAACCGUGUUCUUCAACCGCGACAUGAAAAGAAGAUCGCGUGCAUGUGAGUGUUAUUUAUCUUCUCUACAUGCAGUGAUUUUUGCUGAUCCGUAUAAGAUUGUUCUGUGUGAUACACCGUGAAAAAAAACGAGUUACUUUAAAUUAUAUAUGCAUUCGAAAUUGGUUUUUUCCGGAGCUCGAUAGCCUCGCAAUUCCGAGGAACAUUGGAAUUUUCAAUAUUAUGAUUAUUCGAAAAAUUAGAUGAUGAUUAGGAUGAAAGAAACGCGACGAUUGCAAAAAAGAUUUGUGCAUGUUGGGAUCGCAAAAUUCUUUUUAAAUCUACUUUUUUUGUUUCUCGAAUGUAAAUUAUUUCAUUAUCGAAAAGAAAAACAUUUCUGUGCUUCAAUUCAUAUUUCUUACAACGAAUUGUUCCGAUAACUUCCACAAAUGGUUUUUGAUAAUGAUUCAAAGACAAACCUCCGGUUCAAACGAAUACUCAGACCAUAAAUUGAUGACGAAAUUUCUUACGAACAACGAGAAAUAAUCAAAGAAAAAAACUCCGAUGGUGAGCCACGCAUUUUGUAUCGACCCUAUUUUUUCUCGUUUCUUUCGCGAUUUACAUCAAUGACGGACGCAUUCUAUGGAAUCUCCGAGCAUUAUAAGUCCGAUGCUCGCGCUCGUUGACGCGCAUAUAAUUUAUCAAUUGCGUAACUAAAUGGAAAUUAAAGAGUCAAAGACACGGUCAAUGGCAAACGGAGGUCAAACGUCUAGGCGCGUAGGAAGAGAAAACACUUUUCGUGAGCAGUCAGAUCAUUUGUCAACAUUUUAAGGAUGUAUGUAUAUAAGGUCAAUUUCGCAGUACAUUUAUUUAUUUUUUAAGGUUAUGUUUUAUGUUAAAAUGUCAAUGGUGAAUCAUUUCUGUUUGCAUUUUAUAAUUUUUAAUAAAAAAACUAUGUCAUUUUGAAUCAUAAUUUACGAUUUUUACUAAAAUUAAUAUCCAAUUUGAUAACUGUGAUCAAGCACAAGCGAGCCAAUCAAAUUACAUGUCCAAUAUGGCGGACGUACUAACUACAGAAUGCCGCUGAAACGUAAAAAGUUAACCCCAAAUAUCUCCACAACGACGACGCCUGUACCCGAAACUUCUUAAUUCUUAAAUAUUUCUUUCAAAUUCAUGGAAAGUUUGACACGCCGAUAUUUUUUACAUACAUCCUUAAUUCCAUUUGUAGAUAAAAAUAUUUCGUAGUUUUCCUCAAACACUCCUUAAAUACGAUAACAACAUUUCGUAAUUGUGAAUCAUUUUCCCGUCUACCAGUUUUGAAUUUAGUGAUUCAAUGAAAAAUUCAUUUGUAUUAUUGAUAAACUACAAUUUAGGUUAGCUAAUUGUAAGUGACAGUUUAUUAUUAUUUUAUUUUAUACGUAAAAAUGUGAUGAAAAUAAAGACAGCAAACCCUGAGUCGAUUAGUAUCCUCAA
rnacentral:lncRNA from 1 species